rnacentral:rRNA from 1 species
GACGAACGCUGGCGGCGUGCUUAACACAUGCAAGUCGAACGGAAAGGCCCUGCUUUUGUGGGGUGCUCGAGUGGCGAACGGGUGAGUAACACGUGAGUACCCUGCCCUUGACUUUGGGAUAACUUCAGGCAACUGGGGCUAAUCCCGGAUAGGAGCUCCUGCUGCUUGGUGGGGGUUGGAAAGUUUCGGCGGUUGGGGAUGGACUCGCGGCUUAUCAGCUUGUUGGUGGGGUAGUGGCUUACCAAGGCUUUGACGGGUAGCCGGCCUGAGAGGGUGACCGGCCACAUUGGGACUGAGAUACGGCCCAGACUCCUACGGGAGGCAGCAGUGGGGAAUAUUGCACAAUGGGCGGAAGCCUGAUGCAGCAACGCCGCGUGCGGGAUGACGGCCUUCGGGUUGUAAACCGCUUUCGCCUGUGACGAAGCGUGAGUGACGGUAAUGGGUAAAGAAGCACCGGCUAACUACGUG